UUGUUGCAUAAUUAGUCCUUCCAUCAAACUCUGUUAAAUUUUCUAUCAAAAGUGAGGAUAAAUUCGAAAAUUCAUCCACAAUCCUCCAUUGCCGCAACCCAAUCCUUGUGAACACCAAAAAAUUCAAAGCUGCACAGAUUCAAGAUCUCCCAUUUUAAGCCGCUUAGGUGAACCCAAGUCACGUUCUUGUCCCAAUUCAGUACUCACCCGCUUCUCCCCAACAAUCUAAAACAACCCAGAAAAGAAGCGAAAGAAAAAGAACCAAACUUUAAAUCUAAUCUGGGUAUCGAGAUCAACCCUUCUCUCUCUCUCUCUCUCUCUCUCUCUCUCUCUCUCUCUCUCUCUGAGUCAAAAGGCUAUAAAAUCACACUCCAAUUCCUCGCAAGGGCCGGCCUUUAUGUUGCAGCAAUACAAAAAUCACACACCAAUUCCUCGCAAGAGCAGGCUACGUUGGAUCAAUUUACCUGAUCUCAAACGUGGUAAUUUCAUUGAAGAAGAAGAUGAGCUCAUCAUCAAACUCCAUAGCCUCCUCGGAAACAAUUGGAAGACUACCUGGAAGAACAGACAAUGAGAUAAAGAACUACUGGAACACCCACAUAAGAAGGAAGCUUCCAAAUUUAUCCUCACUUUUGACAGAAAAUUUAAUAGAGUUUGACGGAAGGACUAAUAGUGCAACAAAACACCUACUUGAGUGACCUCCGCAACUAAUAUUUGAGUUAAGUGAUCAAAAUAUAACUUCGGGUAUAGUUGAGAGACCAUUGUUAUGAAUAACCCUAUCAAAUAUGAGGUUUUCUCGUAGGAAAUUUUUUUUUUCUUUUUGAGUGCAAGAGAUAUUGGAGAAAGAGAAUUUGAACUCACAACUAAAUGCUCUUAAUCACUUAACCUACACACUCUUGCAACAAAUUAUUUCUCAAUAAAUAGAUGUUUGGUGGAGAUUGACAUAAACAUAAGAUGUGGUACAAUCU